UCCUCUGUUCAUUACUUUGAUGGGAUGGUUUGAGGAUGAAGUCUUUGCUGAAGAGUAUUUGAUGCUGUAGGAGAAUGUGUUUGUGCCUGAGCACAGGUCAGAAGAGAAACUAAUGAUGGAAUGGCAUUUGCUUCUGUGGAGAGGCCUGGGCAGUGACUUGAAAAUGAUUUUUGAACAAAAGCAUAUUUCCUGGUAUACCAAGGAUAUAUGGCUGUGACGGCCCGGGGACUGCUCGGCUCCUUGCUCAGACAUAAUACUGCUCAGGGUAAGUCUCCUCCAGAACCCAGAAGACUAUAAGGUAACAGCAAGCCAAUUUCUCUGCCUCCAACAAAAUAAAGAUUGCUUUGGAAUCCAUCUUAUAAAUCACAAAUGGGGCUUACUACUAGGCCAAGGAAACAAUUAGUAGUUAUCCAGUAAAUGGAAUCAAUAGAGGAAAAAACAACCGACCCACAAAAACACAGCAACAUAUUACAAGGGAAAAUGUUCUGCAUAUUGUCUUCUGUCGUGCUGGGCUAGGACAUCUUAAUGAAGAGCUAUAUUCUCUCAGGAUGGUACCCCAGAGAGCUUAUCAGAAGUGUUACUAAGAAGUUGCAGUCUUAAUUUUUUUUUUUCUCCAGCCUCGCGUAUACAAGAGAAUUCCAUAUUUGACAGCAUCCUGGUACUUCCUUUAUUUAACAAAGACAUCUUAAUGUUUCCAUGACGGUAACGUGUGAGUUACCUCACGUCCAGUCUUAAAAUAGUUGUUACACUUAAGGAGUAUUAUUAGAAUAAAGCUGGAAGGAAACAUGGAGACAAUUACUCUAAUUCCCUCAUUUUAUAGGAGAGAAUCCAGGGGCCCUAGUGCCUUCUCAAGGCCGCACAAUGACUGGGGUCAGGGCUGGCUUGAGAAUUCAGAUUUGUAUUUCCAUACCGAUGCUCCUUUUAUUUUUUGACAUGUAAUAAUUCUUCUUGGUCUAGAAGAAGAUUAGAGUAUUAACAGUAGUUUAGAUGUAAGAGAAUACCACCAAACAGGCCCACUGUAUAAAUCAUUACAGAAUAUCAUAGAGGAAGGACCACAGAGACCACAACGGUUACAUUUUACAGUCAAAGAAAAUGUGGCACAGAGAAGUUGAAUGACUUUCUAGGGACAACCUGGCUAAUAAUUGAUGGAGUCAAGAUUUGAACUCGUUGGAUCUGGCAUAUCUGGUGCUAGUUAGAACAUCGGCUGGAGUUGGCCUGGGGUUUUACUGGACUCAUCUCUGUUUUAGAGUAUUCUGAGAGAUGUCCUGACCCUGCUUCCGCGGGCUAUGAGGAAGCUUGCACUUUGGAAACACAUGAGAGAGGUUGGAAGUGUGGAUUGUUUAUAGCCCGAGAGGAGAAAGUUGUUCAACUUCAUUUCCAUCCCUAACCACAUGGGAGAAUAGGUUGGAGUAAUAGGAAGACCCUCAGUGGUUGCGAAGCGUGUGUGUAUACAUUGUGGUGGGGACUGUAUUAUGCCUGAGAGCCCUUUGGUUUUCUCUUUUCCCUUCAGCUUUCUGAGAUGCUCUGCCUUAUAGCCCAAAAGAGGUGGCUUUCAUGGCUCCUCUGACUGAACUCGGGGUAGAUACAGGUGGCCCCUCUGAGAGCGUCCCACCAGGGUUUUUGCAAUUAGGCAUAGUGAUUGAACUGGUUAACUUUGGAGAGAUGUGUUGGGGUCACCUAGACUUGUGAUCCAAAGCCUCCGUCUCUGGGAUGCCACAGUCUGACACGGGUUUGUAACCAGGAAGCAACUGUGUGGAGAGAGAGAGAGGGGUAGGUGAGGGAAUGAAUGCAUUGCAUAUGCUUUCUCUUCCUCUAUCUACAGGUACUUGAACCCUGAUUUUUCAGCAUCACCGUGAGUAUUGUGACCAUAACGCCAGCACAAGGGAAAUGAAAAUGGGUCUUAAUAAUAUCAUUUGGGUCUGGAAUCUAGUUGUGCCCCAAAGCCAGCGUCUAUCCUGGGCAUUUCUGAAAAAGAGGCUUCUCUCUGUUUCUCUCUUUCUUUUUUGAUUUAAGACAGUUCGAGUUGAGGUUUUAGUCCCAUGCAAGAGAAGGAGUUGUAACUGACACAGGAGCUUUGCACUGCCAGUAAAUUGCUUUGUUUUGCAGAAUGCAAAGCCAAGCUUCAAGAAGAGAGAAAAGUGCUGGGAUGGCUCCUUUUUGAUUCUAGUUUCUUAUUUAUUUCUUGUUUUGUUGUUUUUGUAAAGAACAUAUAAGAAACUCUCCAACUGAAUGCCACAUGGUGCCUAGAUCCUGAUCCUUCUGCAGCAAAAACGUUUUUCUGUUCUCUGGAUCGUUCCUGGAUACUAUAGUUCUAGAAAUGAAGACAUGGAGAGGGCUGGCUGGAGUCAAAUUAAAAAAAAAAAAAGCAACCUGAAGGGGGUAGAAAUGAUCAAAGCAAAGAAAAAAGAAUGAAAUAUCCUAAUCUGAAGAUGAUUUCGUUUUCCAAAAGCUCCUAGCAAAUUGAGAAGGCAGCCGAAGGAAAGGCUUGUUUGGGAAGGUAUGCAUCAAAUAAAAGCAACGGCCAUGGAAACAGAAGGUCUGUCUUCUAAAAUGGAUUCCUGGCAGUGAAACUCACUGGCUAUAGUCAGCCCAGACUGAACUCCUUUCUUCAUCCUUGAAUGAAUCACUAUGGUCCCAGGGAUGUGAUGCUGUGCUUGGUCAGACUUGAGUCACCUGUCCACUUCUGGAUCUAUGGAGAUGAUGGACAUCACCCUGCUGAGAUUAUGGAAAGAGCAGUACGGGGAAAAUCAGGAUGCAAAAGAGGAAUGAAUGGAAGUCAGGCAGGAAAUGUGUCUCUUUCUGAGAAGAUGGAUGCUCCCCCCAAAAAUAAAGCAUGUGGAAGGUAAAUCGGUGUUUUUGGAUGGAUGCCUUGUUGGAAGAAGACAAGAGGGUGGUCAUGCCAUUCUUACCUGACUUUCCCUUCUUCCACUUGAUAGUCCGCCUUCAGAAGCAGGUGGAGUCCAAUUCUCAAUCGAUGGAAGGGCCCCUUACAGAGCUCCACCCGUAUUAGCAGAACAUGGACUGCCUGAUGCCUUUUAAAGAUAAGCUUCCUGCUGCCGCUUUGCAAGGGUUUACAAGCUGCAACCCUUAUGAAAUGUACUUCCACAAGCACGUCCCAAGGUCUUGUUCAAGUUUGGUCCAGGUCUUAAUCUUUGAACAGCAUCAAAUAUUCAUCGCCUUUGACAAAGCUGGGGUUGGAGGAUCCAGGAUUUUUCAAAAGCAGGUCUUGCCUUACCAUUGGUGAUCCAGUGAGCCUUUCAGCAAGACUGACUCUAAAUCAUCCAGGCUCAAUUAGUUUAUUUCAAAGAAAUAUCCAGGUGUUGUUUGACCUUCAAACAUAUGGACUGCUGGAGUAAAUGAAAGGCCUGCCUGUUCCCAUAAUGCCGAGGGAACUGGAUGGGAAAAUAGGAGCGGUGUUUCAUGAAAUACAGAUGACCUCAUAGGAUUGUUGUAAGAUUUAAGAAUUUAAAAUGAAUGCUUCCCGUCAUGUCUGGCCCAGAGAUAACAAACACCUUGAGGGCAGGGUCUGUGCCUGACUCACUUCUGCAGAAGCGCCCUGCUCCGCGUACAUCAGGUGCCCAGGAACUGCCAGUGAAAGAAAAUUGAGGCUUUGCCAGAGGGUGAAGAAGCAACCUUCUCUUGCCACACAAGGCCAAGUGCACUCCUGAGACAGCCUAUCCGAUAGCAUCCUCAGGGGACAGCCUGAGGGAGUCUUGUGACUGCGCCACUGGGAUCCUUCCUGUAGAGUCAGUGAAUGGCAAUCCGGAGGGGACAGCCCUGGGGUAUGCCUCGAAGGUUCGGUUGAAGCCAUUGGUGAGAUCAGAUGGUGUAUGCUCAGCAGACAUCUUUCCAGCAAAAACGUGCCCUUCCUUCCUCUGCGUCCCGGAUGAUUCUCUGCCACCAUCCAAGAUUCUCAGGCAAAGCGGAGUGGCUCUUCCUCAUGCACCCAGAGCAUUCCCUGCCUUUCUGAAUAACAGCCCACGGUUAUUAUGCAGCUCCUUCUGUACUAAACUAUUGACUUUUAAACAAAGAAGACUCUUUUUGAAGGCCGAAAGAAGAAGAACUCCACUAAGGAGGGCAGAGCUGGCCUGGGGACCCUGUGAGUUAUCAGGUACUCCCUGCAUGUGGCAAGGUCGAGAACGGAUAAUGAGUCUGUAUGUGAAUAGCUUUGACUCCCCCCAAAACUCGACAGUAGAAGAUCCUAUUAUUAAUUGGCCGCCUAUGACUCUUUAGCCGGAGCAGAGGAUCGAUGUGAGAACCAAAUGUUGAUUGCACUUGUUACUCGAAGAAUGAUCUACAGACCAGGAACAGCAGCCUAACCAGGGAAGCUUGUGGGAAAUGCAAUCUCAGGUCUCACUCCAGACCUACGGAAUCUAAACGUGCAGUUUAACAAAAUUCCCAGAGCCAUCCCUCAAGUCCUGAGAGGCCUACUCACGACAAGUGGAAAUACAAGGAAAACCAAGCUCGCCAGCUACAGCGAUAACAGCCUCAGCUCCUUGUGAAGUCAACGGGAGGACCUCUGCCACACCGGGACCUACAGACCAAAGUCACUGCUCAGGGAGUCCUUUCUCUACUACGACCUCCGUUUUGCCAGAAAAGGAUACAAAAAGAAUAUGGAAAUUGCCACAGCAUUGGUCUCUUGUCACGUUCAUGAUCCUGAAGUUGCCAUCGGGGAGAGUCUAGCUCUGAAAAUUUCUACUCCGGAAAAAAGAAAUCACGAUAAGAUUCUAAUUAAAGCAAGACUUGCCUCUCACGAGUAAUGAUACCAUAAAAAACCAGAGAUUAUGUCAGUCAUUCCCAGGUGUGUGUGUGUGUGUGUGUGUGUGUGUGUGUGUGCACGCGCACUGUGUAUGAAAGAAUGACUUUCGUUAAUUAAGAGAAACAGUGGCUCUGAAAGCUGGAAAUAAUUUUGCAGAAAUAGUUAAUUCAUUCAUUUAAGAAAUAUUUAUUAAGUGCCUGUUGCAUACCACCAAGGGGAUACCGUGAUAAGAGAGACUGAUCUGCUUCUUGCCCUCAGAUAGUUGAAAGUCUACGGAGUAUACCAAGCAACAACAAUGAAAGAAAGCGUGAAACAAAGUAGGACAGGAGAAUGUCAAGGCUCUGGGGGCAUACAGCGUCCUGGUGCAUCUCAGAAUGCUGUAAGAGUUAUCAGGUUCCAUGCUCGCACAUAUAUAACACCUGUUUAUGUUGAAUGUGCUCUUUCACAAGAUGGUGACCUUGUAUUUGCACCCACUGUAUUGUUUUUUGAAUGGACUUCAGUUUAAAAGUGGUUUGGAUCUGAGCUAGAAGUCCAGUUACUUCUGAAUCGUUUGUAGUUGAACCCAGAUAUGAUGGCCAGGUUAUGAUGGCCAACCCAAUCAGUUGAACCCAAGUAUCAUGGCCUCUUCUAUAGGGUGUUAGAGGGAAUGAAAUAAGGAUUUGAGGUCCACAGACUCUCCAGUGAGUAUCAAUGGGAUUCAUUUCAGGCUCUAAAUCCUGAACAGUAGCAAAAGUAUGGUCUUCUGGAAUGACAAGUAAGCAAGGCACACUUGAUGAGUGAAGAACUUUGUAGAAUUGCCAUGAGCUAGCUGUAUCUAGAGCCACAUUAAAAAUUGGAACUAUGACUUUAAAAGUAGGCUUAAGAGAAGUUAUUUAGGGGAUGCCUGGGUGGCUCAGUAGUCCAACUGUGCAGCCUGCUUGGGAUUCUGUUUCUCCCUCUCUCUCCCCCUCCCCUGUGUGCUCUCCAUCUCUCAAAAUAGAAAGAGAGAGAGAGACGGAGGGAGAGAGAGAGAGAGACACUAAAGAGAAAAGUUCUAAAAGAUCAUAUUCAUCAGGCCAAGUAUAAAGGCUGAAUGAUCAAGAACAAUUAGGCAAACAUCUUCAUAUUAGUAGACUUCUCCGGUUAAUGGAGAUCACAGGCUUUGGAGGUAAAAUGACCGCAGUUCAAAUCCCUGUGCAGCUCGCUCUAGCUCUUUAACGCUGGGUGAGUCACUUCACUUUCCUGACUCUUACUUUCAUCACAAGUAAAAUGGGGAGAGUCAAACCUAGCUGGCAGGACUGGCGAUAAGGAUUCAUUAGCACAAAGUAGGGACUCAAGAAAAUCUUGUGCUAUUAUUACUAACAGCUAAACUCCUCUAACUUUUGGUAUACUAUUGGUAUACAAUUAUAACUUUCUCUACAUUAUCGUUUACUUGAAGUCAGUAUUUGGAAGACUUCAAACAAUACAGUAGCGUCCUUCACCCAUGUGACAAGAAAAGAGGACCGUUUCUCCCCACCUCCACUAAGCAAGCAUGAGACCGGAUCAGAGAGGUUACUGCUCGAGGUCACAGAGCUGGGCCACUACCAGUUCUCUGCUUUGUGGGAGAGUCCGGUGUAAUUGAGUACCUUGGCUUAUCUAUUCCAGAAACCACCACUGCUGACCAGUCAGGAAACUAUUCACUUUAAUUCUGGCUCCUGGUCUCUCCCUAUUAUUCGGGUGUGGGUUUUCCCUUUCUGUGGAAAUAGACGGCUGUACCUCAUAUCUCCUUCCUGCUGUUUCCAGUGAUGUUCUGCAAACACAGUCACUUGUGAUGUCAUGUCUCGUAUUUCCGUUGGCCAGCUUCUCUCUCCCUAGUGAUUAAUGUCAAUCAUCACUCCCCUGGGAUACAAUUUUCAUGAAGAAUCAGCCAAAGAGGUCUGCCUCUUAACCUACAAUAACGUUCAAUUCCAGUAAAGCCUGGGAGAAGAAAAUGGACUAAAAAUUGUUUCUCCAUUAACUCUAGGUGACCUCCCAAAACUCUGCUUCUUUUCAAGCAAACUUUUGCGAUGGGCCAGUUUACCAAAGAAUUCACUUUUCUCCCUGAGCUCCAGUCAUUCUAUAUUCCUAUUUAUAAAACUAUCCUCUAAACUGCACAUGUGUGUGCUGUUAUAAAAUAAAGAAUAUAUUCACUCAUUUAAUAAAUACUUCUUGAGCACCUAC